rnacentral:misc_RNA from 1 species
AAGGAGUCUAACACAUAUGCGAGUGUGCGAGUGUAGAAACUCAUACGCGUAAUGAAAGUGAAAGGUGCGCAGCGCAAGCAGCAGCAUCGACCGAUCUGGAUCUUUAGUGAUGGAUUUGAGUAAGAGCAUAUAUGUUGGGACCCGAAAGAUGGUGAACUGUGCCUGAAUAGGGCGAAGCCAGAGGAAACUCUGGUGGAGGCUCGUAGCGAUUCUGACGUGCAAAUCGAUCGUCAAAUUUGGGUAUAGGGGCGAAAGACUAAUCGAACCAUCUAGUAGCUGGUUCCUGC